GCAUAUCAAUAAGCGGAGGAAAAAGAAACCAACAGGGAUUGCCCUAGUAACGGCGAGUGAAGCGGCAACAGCUCAAAUUUGAAAUCUGGCUCUCGGGCCCGAGUUGUAAUUUGUAGAGGAUACUUUUGAUGCGGUGCCUUCCGAGUUCCCUGGAACGGGACGCCAUAGAGGGUGAGAGCCCCGUCUGGUUGGAUGCCAAAUCUCUGUAAAGUUCCUUCAACGAGUCGAGUAGUUUGGGAAUGCUGCUCUAAAUGGGAGGUAUAUGUCUUCUAAAGCUAAAUACUGGCCAGAGACCGAUAGCGCACAAGUAGAGUGAUCGAAAGAUGAAAAGCACUUUGAAAAGAGAGUUAAAAAGUACGUGAAAUUGUUGAAAGGGAAGCGUUUAUGACCAGACUUGGGCUUGGUUAAUCAUCUGGGGUUCUCCCCAGUGCACUUUUCCAGUCCAGGCCAGCAUCAGUUUUCCCCGGGGGAUAAAGGCGGCGGGAAUGUGGCUCUCUUCGGGGAGUGUUAUAGCCCGUCGUGUAAUACCCUGGGGGGGACUGAGGUUCGCGCAUCUGCAAGGAUGCUGGCGUAAUGGUCAUCAACGACCCGUCUUGAAACACGGACCAAGGAGUCGUCUUCGUAUGCGAGUGUUCGGGUGUCAAACCCCUACGCGUAAUGAAAGUGAACGCAGGUGAGAGCUUCGGCGCAUCAUCGACCGAUCCUGAUGUUCUCGGAUGGAUUUGAGUAAGAGCAUACGGGGCCGGACCCGAAAGAAGGUGAACUAUGCCUGUAUAGGGUGAAGCCAGAGGAAACUCUGGUGGAGGCUCGCAGCGGUUCUGACGUGCAAAUCGAUCGUCAAAUAUGGGCAUAGGGGCGAAAGACUAAUCGAACCUUCUAGUAGCUGGUUUCCGCCGAAG
rnacentral:rRNA from 1 species